rnacentral:rRNA from 1 species
GACAGAGGUCCCGAGCGUUGUUCGGAUUCAUUGGGCGUAAAGGGUGUGUAGGAGGCUGGGUAAGUCAGGUGUGAAAUCUCAGAGCUUAACUCUGAAACUGCGCUUGAUACUGCUCGGCUAGAGGAUCGGAGGGGGUAUCGGAAUUUAUGGUGUAGCAGUGAAAUGCGUAGAUAUCGAGAGGAACACCGGUGGCGAAGGCGGCCAACUGGACGAGUACUGACGCUGAGACACGAAAGCGUGGGGAGCAAACAGG